rnacentral:rRNA from 1 species
GAUGAACGCUGGCGGUGUGCCUAAUACAUGCAAGUCGAGCGAACAGACGAGGAGCUUACUCCUCUGACGUUAGCGGCGGACGGGUGAGUAACACGUGGAUAACCUACCUAUAAGACUGGGAUAACUUCGGGAAACCGGAGCUAAUACCGGAUAACAUGUUGAACCGCAUGGUUCAACAGUGAAAGACGGUCUUGCUGUCACUUAUAGAUGGAUCCGCGUCGCAUUAGCUAGUUGGUAAGGUAACGGCUUACCAAGGCAACGAUGCGUAGCCGACCUGAGAGGGUGAUCGGCCACACUGGAACUGAGACACGGUCCAGACUCCUACGGGAGGCAGCAGUAGGGAAUCUUCCGCAAUGGGCGAAAGCCUGACGGAGCAACGCCGCGUGAGUGAAGGAGGUCUUCGGAUCGUAAAACUCUGUUAUUAGGGAAGAACAAAUGUGUAAGUAACUAUGCACGUCUUGACGGUACCUAAUCAGAAAGCCACGGCUAACUACGUG